AGAGUUUGAUCCUGGCUCAGGACGAACGCUGGCGGCGUGCCUAACACAUGCAAGUCGAACGAAACUUUUUGCUUCGGUAGAAAGUUUAGUGGCGGACGGGUGAGUAACGCGUGAGGAACCUGCCUUUCAGAGGGGGAUAAUGUCUGGAAACGGACACUAAUACCGCAUGACAUUUUCUGUUCACAUGGACAGAAAAUCAAAGGAGCAAUCUGCUGAAAGAUGGACUCGCGUCCGAUUAGCUAGAUGGUGAGAUAAUAGCCCACCAUGGCGACGAUCGGUAGCCGGACUGAGAGGUUGAACGGCCACAUUGGGACUGAGACACGGCCCAGACUCCUACGGGAGGCAGCAGUGGGGGAUAUUGCACAAUGGAGGAAACUCUGAUGCAGCAACGCCGCGUGAAGGAAGACGGUCUUCGGAUUGUAAACUUUUGUACCUAGGGACGAUAAUGACGGUACCUAGGCAGCAAGCUCCGGCUAACUACGUGCCAGCAGCCGCGGUAAUACGUAGGGAGCGAGCGUUGUCCGGAUUUACUGGGUGUAAAGGGUGCGUAGGCGGCCAAGCAAGUCAGCUGUGAAAACUAUGGGCUUAACCCAUAGCCUGCAAUUGAAACUGUUUGGCUUGAGUGAAGUAGAGGUAGGUGGAAUUCCCGGUGUAGCGGUGAAAUGCGUAGAGAUUGGGAGGAACACCAGUGGCGAAGGCGACCUACUGGGCUUUAACUGACGCUGAAGCACGAAAGCAUGGGUAGCAAACAGGAUUAGAUACCCUGGUAGUCCAUGCUGUAAACGAUGAUUACUAGGUUGUGGGGG
rnacentral:rRNA from 1 species